rnacentral:lncRNA from 1 species
UCAUCCCUACAUGCAUCCUAGAUCUUUUAUGUCUCUGGACCCCAGUAGCUCGUGUAGAUUUGCUACCAUCGCACACCGCCUUUUAAUGCCAUAGCCUCCAUGCUCUGACUGCCAAGUGCCAUGAUCCAUCCCUGUUGCUCCGAUGACGCUCCUACGCCUCACUACGCACCUAUAUGUGUUGCUCACCAGUGUUCUGUCUACCACCCAAUGCUAAUCGAUCCUCUAUGUCCAGCAAAGACCUUCAAUUAUCUUGCCACUCCCACCCUAAUACUCACCCCCAAACCCUUGGUUUUAUGCUAAUCGAUCCUCUAUGUCAAGGAAAUUAAGACGUUGUCGGCGUUUGAUUUGGACUUGUGCGAAUUCAGUUUGGAUGAUGUGUUGCUCUGUGGCGAUCUCUUGUAUUUCCCGGACAGUUUGCAACAAUAGUUCUGACGAGCCUGAUGGAAAUACAGACUAAUCCAUGUGCUUAAUUACCGUCAGAUUUCUGGUAACUAAUCCAC